rnacentral:rRNA from 1 species
UACAGAGGGGGCCAGCGUUAAUCGGAAUUACUGGGCGUAAAGGGCGCGUAGGCGGCCUGCUAAGUCGGACGUGAAAUCCCCCGGCUCAACCGGGGAACUGCGUCCGAUACUGGUGGGCUCGAAUCCGGGAGAGGGAUGUGGAAUUCCAGGUGUAGCGGUGAAAUGCGUAGAUAUCUGGAGGAACACCGGUGGCGAAGGCGGCAUCCUGGACCGGUAUUGACGCUGAGGCGCGAAAGCCAGGGGAGCAAACGGG